rnacentral:rRNA from 1 species
AUUGAACGCUGGCGGCAGGCCUAACACAUGCAAGUCGAGCGGUAGAGAGGUGCUUGCACCCCUUGAGAGCGGCGGACGGGUGAGUAAUGCCUAGGAAUCUGCCUGGUAGUGGGGGAUAACGUCCGGAAACGGACGCUAAUACCGCAUACGUCCUACGGGAGAAAGCAGGGGACGUUCGGGCCUUGCGCUAUCAGAUGAGCCUAGGUCGGAUUAGCUAGUUGGUGAGGUAAUGGCUCACCAAGGCGACGAUCAGUAACUGGUCUGAGAGGAGGAUAAGUCACACUGGAACUGAGACACGGUCCAGACUCCUACGGGAGGCAGCAGUGGGGAAUAUUGGACAAUGGGCGAAAGCCUGAUCCAGCCAUGCCGCGUGUGUGAAGAAGGUCUUCGGAUUGUAAAGCACUUUAAGUUGGGAGGAAGGGUUGUAGAUUAAUACUCUGCAAUUUUGACGUUACCGACAGAAUAAGCACCGGCUAACUCUGUGCCAGCAGCCGCCGUAACAC